GACGAACCGUGCGAACGUUAUUCGGAAUUACUGGGCUUAAAGCGCGUGUAGGCGGGAGGGCACGUCCGUCGCUGAAAUCCCCCGGCUCAACCGGGGAACGGGCGCGGAUACGACCUUCCUGGAGGGGCGUAGGGGGACCUGGAACUUCCGGUGGAGCGGUGAAAUGCGUUGAGAUCGGAAGGAACGCCCGUGGCGAAAGCGAGGUCCUGGACGCCUACUGACGCUGAGACGCGAAAGCCAGGGGAGCGAACGGG
rnacentral:rRNA from 1 species